rnacentral:misc_RNA from 1 species
GAUGAAGAACGUAGUGAAAUGCGAUAAGUAGUGUGAAUUGCAGAAUUCAGUGAAUCAUCGAAUCUUUGAACGCACAUUGCGCCCCUUGGUAUUCCAUGGGGCAUGCCUGUUCGAGCGUCAUUUGUACCUUCAAGCUUUGCUUGGUGUUGGGUGUUUGUCCAUUCUCUUGCAGAGGGACUCGCCUUAAAGUAAUUGGCAGCCAGUGUUUUGGUUUUGAAGCGCAGCACAAGUCGCGAUUCAAAGCUAUACGCCCGCUUCCACAAGCCUUCUUCACUUUUGACCUCGGAUCAGGUAGGGAUACCCGCUGAACUUAAGCAUAUCAAUAAGCGGAGGA